GAUACUAUGGCAGAUUAGUGCAUUAGGUUUAAACCCUAAAUAUGGAUAACACCCUUUUAUCA
rnacentral:tRNA from 1 species